UGCUGCCAGCUGUGGUGGGGUGGAGGGCAGAUACCUUUUACAGUCACUGCUCUGUCCCAGUAGGAGCAUCAGUUCUCUCCAGGGAAGUCCCUUUCACUCCCUGAACUCUGCCCACGGGGAGCUCCUAAUCCUUGGAGAGCCCCAGGAGCACCGGUUCCACGUUAAAUUGAACUUCAUAAAUUUUGAAGAGUCUUUUGCUCGCUGGUCACUCUGCCAAGGGAGGAUUUACCAGCACAGAUGCAUCAAAUCAUCAUCCCAGUGAUGUAUUACAGGUACA